rnacentral:misc_RNA from 1 species
CGCACCUUGCGCCCGCUAGUAUUCUGGCGGGCAUGCCUGUCCGAGCGUCAUUACAACCCAUCAAGCACCGCUUGCGAUGGGGUCCUGCGGCAGCCGCAGACCCCGAAACGUAGUGGCCGGCUCCGGCGUCGUACCGAGCGUAGUAACUUUGAUUCCGUUCAGGGAGGACGUCGAGCGCGCGCCGUAAAACCCAAGGUCCCUACGGGGACCUCUCUGGUUGACCUCGGAUCAGGUAGGAAUACCCGCUGAACUUAA